rnacentral:rRNA from 1 species
UACGUAGGUGGCAAGCGUUGUCCGGAAUUAUUGGGCGUAAAGCGCGCGCAGGCGGUUCUUUAAGUCUGAUGUGAAAGCCCACGGCUCAACCGUGGAGGGUCAUUGGAAACUGGAGAACUUGAGUACAGAAGAGGAAAGCGGAGUUCCACGUGUAGCGGUGAAAUGCGUAGAGAUGUGGAGGAACACCAGUGGCGAAGGCGGCUUUCUGGUCUGUAACUGACGCUGAGGCGCGAAAGCGUGGGGAGCAAACAGG